rnacentral:rRNA from 1 species
AUCGAACGCUGGCGGCGGGCCUAAUACAUGCAAGUCGAACGAGUGGAGGACUGGUGAGCAAUGUCUGGGAACCUGCGUGAUCGAGGGGGAAGACGACUGGAACACGUAGCUAAAAGCGCUUAACACCAUUUGGGGCCUGAUGGGAUUAGCGAGUUGGUGGGGUAACGGCUCAUCAAGGCGACGAGCCCUAGCUGGUCUGAGAGGAUGACCAGCCACACUGGAACUGAGACACGGUCCAGACUCCUACGGGAGGCAGCAGUGGGGAAUAUUGGACAAUGGGCGCAAGCCUGAUGCAGCCAUGCCGCGUGUGUGAAGAAGGCCUUCGGGUUGUAAAGUACUGUCAGCGGGGAGGCGGUACCCGAAGAAGAAGCAACGGCUAACUACGUGCCAGCCGCCGCGGUAAUUC